rnacentral:rRNA from 1 species
CGUAGGGUGCGAGCGUUAUUCGGAAUUACUGGGCGUAAAGCGUGCGCAGGCGGUUCGCCAAGUCAGGUGUGAAAUCCCCGGGCUUAACCUGGGAAUUGCGCUUGAAACUAGCGGGCUUGAGUGUGGCAGAGGGGGUGGAAUUCCACGUGUAGCAGUGAAAUGCGUAGAGAUGUGGAGGAACACCGAUGGCGAAGGCAGCCCCCUGGGUCAACACUGACGCUCAUGCACGAAAGCGUGGGGAGCAAACAGGAUUAGAUACCCUGGUAGUCCACGCCCUAAACGAUGUCGACUAGGUGUUGGGGAAGGAGACUUCCUUAGUACCGCAGCUAACGCGUGAAGUCGACCGCCUGGGGAGUACGGUCGCAAGAUUA